ensembl:lncRNA
GUGUGGAGUAGUGUGUGGUGUGGUGUAGUGUGUGGUGUGUGGUGUUGUGUGGAGUAGUGUGUGGUGUGGUGUGGUGUGUGGUGUGGUGUGUAGUGUGUGGUGUGUGGUGUGUGGUGUGGAGUAGUGUGUGGAGUAGUGUGGUGUGUGUGUGGUGUGUAGUGUGUGGUGUGGAGUAGUGUGUGGUGUGGAGUAGUGUGUGGUGUGGAGUAGUGUGUGGUUUGGAGUAGUGUGUGGUGUGGUGUAGUGUGUGGUGUAGUGUGUAGUGUGUGGUGUGGUGUGGUGUGGAGUAGUGUGUGGUGUAGUGUGUGGUGUAGUGUGUGGAGUAGUGUGUGUAGUGUGGUGUAGUGUGUGGUGUAGUGUGUGGUGUAGUGUGUGGUGUGGUGUAGUGUGUGGAGUAGUGUGGUGUGGUGUAGUGUGGUGUGUGGUGUAGUGUGUGGAGUAGUGUGUGGUGUGUAGUGUGUGGUGUGGUGUAGUGUGUGGUGUAGUGUGUGGUGUGGUGUAGUGUGUGGUUUGGAGUAGUGUGUGGUGUGGUGUAGUGUGUGGUGUAGUGUGUAGUGUGUGGUGUGGUGUGGUGUGGAGUAGUGUG